UGGGGUAUAGCCAAGUGGUAAGGCAGCGGACUUUGACUCCGCUAUCCGUAGGUUCGAAUCCUCCUACCCCAG
rnacentral:tRNA from 1 species